AUUGAACGCUGGCGGCAGGCCUAACACAUGCAAGUCGAGCGGCAGCGGAAAGUAGCUUGCUACUUUGCCGGCGAGCGGCGGACGGGUGAGUAAUGUCUGGGAAACUGCCUGAUGGAGGGGGAUAGCUACUGGAAACGGUAGCUAAUACCGCAUGACCUCGAAAGAGCAAAGUGGGGGGUCUUCGGACCUCACGCCAUCGGAUGUGCCCAGAUGGGAUUAGCUAGUAGGUGAGGUAAUGGCUCACCUAGGCGACGAUCCCUAGCUGGUCUGAGAGGAUGACCAGCCACACUGGAACUGAGACACGGUCCAGACUCCUACGGGAGGCAGCAGUGGGGAAUAUUGCACAAUGGGCGCAAGCCUGAUGCAGCCAUGCCGCGUGUGUGAAGAAGGCCUUAGGGUUGUAAAGCACUUUCAGCGAGGAGGAAGGCAUCACACUUAAUACGUGUGGUGAUUGACGUUACUCGCAGAAGAAGCACCGGCUAACUCCGUGCCAGCAGCCGCGGUAAUACGGAGGGUGCAAGCGUUAAUCGGAAUUACUGGGCGUAAAGCGCACGCAGGCGGUUUGUUAAGUCAGAUGUGAAAUCCCCGCGCUUAACGUGGGAACUGCAUUUGAAACUGGCAAGCUAGAGUCUUGUAGAGGGGGGUAGAAUUCCAGGUGUAGCGGUGAAAUGCGUAGAGAUCUGGAGGAAUACCGGUGGCGAAGGCGGCCCCCUGGACAAAGACUGACGCUCAGGUGCGAAAGCGUGGGGAGCAAACAGG
rnacentral:rRNA from 1 species